rnacentral:rRNA from 1 species
AUUGAACGCUGGCGGCAUGCUUUACACAUGCAAGUCGAACGGCAGCGCGGGCUUCGGCCUGGCGGCGAGUGGCGAACGGGUGAGUAAUACAUCGGAACGUGCCCAGUAGUGGGGGAUAGCUCGGCGAAAGCCGGAUUAAUACCGCAUACGACCUGAGGGUGAAAGCGGGGGAUCUUCGGACCCCGCGCUAUUGGAGCGGCCGAUGGCAGAUUAGCUAGUUGGUGGGGUAAAGGCCUACCAAGGCGACGAUCUGUAGCUGGUCUGAGAGGACGACCAGCCACACUGGGACUGAGGCACGGCCCAGACUCCUACGGGAGGCAGCAGUGGGGAAUUUUGGACAAUGGGCGAAAGCCUGAUCCAGCAAUGCCGCGUGUGUGAUGAAGGCCUUCGGGUUGUAAAGCACUUUUGGCGGGAACGAAAAGGACUGUGCCAAUACCACGGUUCGAUGACGGUACCCGCAGAAUAAGCACCGGCUAACUACGUG